CAGCUUGCUGGGUGGAUUAGUGGCGAACGGGUGAGUAACACGUGAGUAACCUGCCCUUGACUCUGGGAUAAGCCUGGGAAACUGGGUCUAAUACCGGAUAGGAACGUCCACCGCAUGGUGGGUGUUGGAAAGAUUUAUCGGUCAUGGAUGGACUCGCGGCCUAUCAGCUUGUUGGUGAGGUAAUGGCUCACCAAGGCGACGACGGGUAGCCGGCCUGAGAGGGUGACCGGCCACACUGGGACUGAGACACGGCCCAGACUCCUACGGGAGGCAGCAGUGGGGAAUAUUGCACAAUGGGCGAAAGCCUGAUGCAGCGACGCCGCGUGAGGGAUGACGGCCUUCGGGUUGUAAACCUCUUUCAGUAGGGAAGAAGCGAAAGUGACGGUACCUGCAGAAGAAGCACCGGCUAACUACGUGCCAGCAGCCGCGGUAAUACGUAGGGUGCGAGCGUUAUCCGGAAUUAUUGGGCGUAAAGAGCUCGUAGGCGGUUUGUCGCGUCUGUCGUGAAAGUCCGGGGCUUAACCCCGGAUCUGCGGUGGGUACGGGCAGACUAGAGUGCAGUAGGGGAGACUGGAAUUCCUGGUGUAGCGGUGGAAUGCGCAGAUAUCAGGAGGAACACCGAUGGCGAAGGCAGGUCUCUGGGCUGUAACUGACGCUGAGGAGCGAAAGCAUGGGGAGCGAACAGGAUUAGAUACCCUGG
rnacentral:rRNA from 1 species